ACCAUUAUAGCUCAGUUGGUAGAGCAAUUGACUGCUAAUCAGUAGGACGCGGGUUCGAUUCCCGCUCUUGGUA
rnacentral:tRNA from 1 species